rnacentral:tRNA from 2 species
GCGCGGUUAGCUCAGUGGCAGAGCGCCUGCUUUACACGCAGGAUGUCGCAGGUUCGAUCCCUGCCCCGCGCA